rnacentral:rRNA from 1 species
UACGGAGGGGGCUAGCGUUGUUCGGAAUUACUGGGCGUAAAGCGCACGUAGGCGGCUUUGUAAGUUAGAGGUGAAAGCCCGGGGCUCAACUCCGGAAUUGCCUUUAAGACUGCAUCGCUAGAAUUGUGGAGAGGUAAGUGGAAUUCCGAGUGUAGAGGUGAAAUUCGUAGAUAUUCGGCGGAACACCAGUGGCGAAGGCGACUUACUGGACACAUAUUGACGCUGAGGUGCGAAAGCGUGGGGAGCAAACAGG